rnacentral:rRNA from 1 species
UGGGGAAUUUUGGACAAUGGGCGAAAGCCUGAUCCAGCAAUGCCGCGUGUGUGAAGAAGGCCUUCGGGUUGUAAAGCACUUUUGUCCGGAAAGAAAUCCUUGGCUCUAAUACAGUCGGGGGAUGACGGUACCGGAAGAAUAAGCACCGGCUAACUACGUGCCAGCAGCCGCGGUAAUACGUAGGGUGCAAGCGUUAAUCGGAAUUACUGGGCGUAAAGCGUGCGCAGGCGGUUUGCUAAGACCGAUGUGAAAUCCCCGGGCUCAACCUGGGAACUGCAUUGGUGACUGGCAGGCUAGAGUAUGGCAGAGGGGGUAGAAUUCCACGUGUAGCAGUGAAAUGCGUAGAGAUGUGGAGGAAUACCGAUGGCGAAGGCAGCCCCCUGGGCCAAUACUGACGCUCAUGCACGAAAGCGUGGGGAGCAAACAGGAUUAGAUACCCUGGUAGUCCACGCCCUAAAACGAUGUCAACUAGUUGUUGGGGGACUUCAUUUUCCUUUAGUAACGUAGCUAACGCGUGAAGUUGACCGCCUGGGGAGUACGGUCGCAAGAUUAAAA